rnacentral:rRNA from 1 species
AUUGAACGCUGGCGGCAUGCCUUACACAUGCAAGUCGAACGGUAACGGGCCUUCGGGUGCCGACGAGUGGCGAACGGGUGAGUAAUGUAUCGGAGCGUACCUUUCAGUGGGGGAUAACGUAGCGAAAGUUACGCUAAUACCGCAUAUUCUGUGCGCAGGAAAGCAGGGGAUCGCAAGACCUUGCGCUGAUUGAGCGGCCGAUAUCAGAUUAGCUAGUUGGUGAGGUAAAGGCUCACCAAGGCGACGAUCUGUAGCGGGUCUGAGAGGAUGAUCCGCCACACUGGAACUGAGACACGGUCCAGACUCCUACGGGAGGCAGCAGUGGGGAAUUUUGGACAAUGGGGGCAACCCUGAUCCAGCCAUGCCGCGUGAGUGAAGAAGGCCUUCGGGUUGUAAAGCUCUUUCGGCCGGGAAGAAAUCGUAUCAGCUAAUACCUGGUGCGGAUGACGGCACCGGCAUAAGAAGCACCGGCUAACUACGUGCCAGCCGCCGCCGUAAAAC